CGGAGGGUGCAAGCGUUAUCCGGAUUCACUGGGUUUAAAGGGUGCGUAGGUGGGUUGGUAAGUCAGUGGUGAAAUCCCCGAGCUUAACUUGGGAACUGCCAUUGAUACUAUCAGUCUUGAAUACCGUGGAGGCCGGCGGAAUAUGUCAUGUAGCGGUGAAAUGCUUAGAUAUGACAUAGAACACCAAUUGCGAAGGCAGCUGACUACGCGAGUAUUGACACUGAGGCACGAAAGCGUGGGGAUCAAACAGGAUUAGAUACCCUGGUAGUCCACGCCCUAAACUAUGGAUACUCGACAUACGCGAUACACUGUGUGUGUCUGAGCGAAAGCAUUAAGUAUCCCACCUGGGAAGUACGAUCGCAAGAUUG
rnacentral:rRNA from 1 species